GCACUUCCCCGCCCCUCCCGCACGCCCCCGCCCCUCUGCUCCUCCCCUUCCCACCGCCCCUCCCUGCCGGCGUAGCUCGUCCCUGCCGCACCAAGGCCGCUCUGCGGGACUGCCGGAGCUCCUCCUCCGCACGCGCAGGGUGUACUCCGCGAACGGCUCGGGCCCGGCGAGCACGACAGAUAGCCGGCGUUGGGCGAGGGCGCGCCCCGUCGCCGUUGCGGAGUAGGGCGUGGCGAGGAACAUCGUCGUCGCGCCUGCCGGAGGAGUGGCGGUGGCUCGCCUCCGCGCGCGUGCUCGUUACUGUAGCCGGGCUGGACCUGCUGAGCGCGAGGGGUCGCGCCUACGUCCGCGCGCUCCGGGCGAGCGGGUGGCGUGGCGAGGCGGAGCUGUACGAGGCCUGGCGAGCACCAUGCCUACUUCCUCAACAAGCCCGACAGCUACAAGGCAGCCAAGGAGAUGGAGGUCGUGGCAGGAGGGGCCAGGCGCAGGGAGAGCACGGCGAGGUCGCCAUGGCUGCCUGGAGGCCGAGCUCCCCAUCUUCAAUACUCCGUCCAUGAGCCAAAUUAAUCCAAUUCCUCGCGGGAAUAGCAGAUCCAUGACCUCCUCCCUCGAUCCCCUAAUCCAGCCGGCCAAAUCCCCCGCCCAAGGACCUCGUUCCGUCGCGCCAUGGUCGCAAGAACAAUCGAUCUCGACCUCUCCGCUUGUUUGACGAGGAACGCAAAGUUGCCGCCGCGGGCGCUUAUGGCCACGCCGACGAAUGUCGCCGCCGCGUUCUUCCUCGUCUCCGGCGAGCUCCGGUCACCAUGUACCCGUGCCAAGUGCAUCACCGCGUGUGCCUCGAAUUUCUGAACACCGUGGUAUGCUUCUUGCUCGCCGGUGAUCUUCGUGGUGCGGGAACAUCGCCGUUUUAGGCCUUUUGACCCUGACGCUUGGAGGCACAGGAGGAAGACAAGCUGCUGCUCGCGGGUGCAUUUAGAAAAUCUGUUGCAUUUCAUCACUUUUUUGGCUAGCUAUUACGUUUUACAUAAUAGCUAAAUUAAAAUUUUAGCUAUUCAAUUUUAAAGAAGCUGUUGGAGAUGCUUUAACAAAUAACAUAUAUGUAAAUUUGAGGUUUAGUUGUUGGUUUUCGAAUGUUUGAAAUUGUAAAAUACCUUAUUGCUAUAUUAUUAUGUGUCUUUGAUGAGUUUUAAACUAGUGUAGUAUGAUAUAUUUGCCGCUAUAAAAAUUUUUAUGUCAA